rnacentral:rRNA from 1 species
ACGGAGGGUGCAAGCGUUAAUCGGAAUUACUGGGCGUAAAGCGCACGCAGGCGGUUUGUUAAGUCAGAUGUGAAAUCCCCGGGCUCAACCUGGGAACUGCAUCUGAUACUGGCAAGCUUGAGUCUCGUAGAGGGGGGUAGAAUUCCAGGUGUGGCGGCGAAAUGCGUAGAGAUCUGGAGGAAUGUCGGUGGGGGAGGCGGCCCCCUGGGCGUAGACUGCCGCUCAGGUGCGAAAGCGUGGGGUGUAAACAA